rnacentral:rRNA from 1 species
GGAGGCAGCAGGUGGGGAAUAUUGGACAAUGGGCGAAAGCCUGAUCCAGGCCAUGCCCGCGUGUGUGAAGAAAGGUCUUCGGGAUUGUAAAGCACUUUAAGUUGGGAGGAAGGGGCAGUAAGUUAAUACCUUGCUGUUUGACGUACCGACAGAAUUAGCCCGGAAUAUUCGGCCC